ACCUCCUCCUCCCUUCCCGCUCCGGUCAGGCGCGGUUCUCACCGGCUUCUCCGGUGGCCGCCUUUCUUUUUCUUCUUUUUCUUGGGAGGGGGCGAUGCCGAGCUGCUAGACCAAUGCUUGGUCCUGGGGGAGAAGGGGCGGGGGUGGGGGCGGUGAGGGGGGGCAGCCCCGCGCGCCCCCCACCCCCGCCGCGGCGGCCGCUGACCUGUACCCGCGGUGGCCGCGGUAGCAGGAGGCCGGGCAGUCACAGUCCACUGGGCCGUCGUCAUCGUCAAAGGGCGCGUACUCCAGGCCCGGCUCAGCGCCCUCGGUCAGCCGCGGGGUCUCCGCCACACUGCCGGCGACAGGGACGCUCACCACCAGUCUCGGGACGACUUUUCUUCACCCCUUUUCUCGGCGCAGGGGGCCUGACCUAGCCCCGCAAGUCUGCGGGCUGCUACCCGGCUGGGGGAGGGGCGAGGGGUAACUGCGGCCCCUGGCCUUACAGGGCUAGGCAGAGAUUUGGGGAACCCAACGGGGCACAUCCCCUACAGGUCCCCGACCUCACGGUACAAUCUUUUGCAAAAAAGAAGGAGAUAACCGAGCCCCUUAUUUAGCCCGCACCCCUUCUGAGUUCUCACCAUCUCAGUAAGCCCCCUCCUCUUUUUUUUUUUUUUAAUUUUGGAGAUAGGGUCUUGCUCUGUUGCUCAGGCUGGGUUGCAGCGGUGGGAUCAUAGCUCACUGCAGCCUUGAACUUCUGGGCCCAAGCGAUCCUUCCUCCUCAGCCUCUUGAGUAGCUGGGACUACAGGCGUGGACCCCUACCCUGGCUAAUUUGAAAAAUUUUGCAGAGACGGGGUCUCACUAUGUUGCUCAGGCUGGUUUCGAACUCCUGGCCUCAAGCGAUCCUCCCGUUUGAUCUCUCAAAGUGCUGGAAUUCCAGGCAUGAGCCACCCUGCAGUCGUGGGUGGGGUGUGUGUGGCUACUCCUUAGAUGAGGCUCCUCUUCUUCACUGAAUCCCCUCCAUAUCCUAGCCCCAUUCAUUGAAGCCCUCCCCCUCAGUGAACCCCCCAUUUGAUCCCUGUGCCCCUAACCCUACUGUCCUAUUCUGGGAACCCCAUCCCCACCCCUCCUUUCUCUCACUGAACCCUAAUUUCUCUUUUCUUUUCUUUCUUUUUUUUUUCAGUCUCACUCCGUUGUCCUGGCUGGAGUGCAGGGGCCCGAUCUCGCCUCACUGCAACCUCUGCCUGCUGCAGUCUCCUGCAAUCUCACCUCACUGCAACCUCCGCUUCCUGGGUUCAAGUGAUUCUCCUGCCUCAGCCUCCCGAGUAGCUGGGAUUACAGGUGCCCGCUAAUUUUUGUAUUUUUAGUAGAGAUGGGGUUUCUCCAUGUUAGUCAGGCUGGUAUGGAACUCCCGAUCUCAGAUGAUCUGCCAGCUUUGGCCUCCCAAAGUGCUGGGAUUACAGGCGUGAGCCACCGCGCACGGCGAACUCUAAUUUCUUCCUUUUUUUUUUUUCUUUUUCUUUUUCUUUUUUUUUUUUUUUUUUUUGAGAUGGAGUCUCACUCUGUCGACUAGGCUGGAGUGCAGUGGCAUGAUCUCAGCUCACUGCAUCCUCCGCCUGCUGGGUUCAAGCAAUUCUCCUGCCUCAGCCUCCCGAGUAGCUGGGACUACAGGCAUGCACCACCACGCCCAGCUAAUUUUUUGUAUUUUUAGUAGAGACGGGGUUUCACCAUGCUGGCCAGGCUGGUCUUGAACUCCUGACCUUGUGAUCCACCCACCUUGGCCUCCCAACGUGCUGGGAUUACAGGCGUGAGCCACCGCGCCCGGCAAACUCUAAUUUCUUAAAGAGCCCCUUCCUCCUGGCCUAUCUCCGCCCUCCCCGAGCCCUGGCUCAAUGAUGUGGGUCUUUCCUCACCUGGGUGUCCUAGUCCCUGAGCCCCCUCCCGCUGGCUGAGUGCCUCCCUGCCCCGCUUCCCCUCCUUUCCUCCAGCCCGGCCUCUGUCGCUGAAAUAUUCAUAGCCUCUCCUCGCCCUCCCCUCUGCAGCCUCCAGGGGCCCCCCCUGCUCAUCUCUGGCAGCAGGACUGUGCUCAUCAAUCAAGCCUGGUGGCAGAGGGUGGGGGCCUCCAAUACUCCCUAUCCAUCUUACAGAACUCUCCUUUUCGCUCAGCAGGGACCAGACACCUCCUGUCCCUGCUCCCGCAGCCCCAGCCAGCCUCUGCCACAGAUGUUGGCUCCCUACAGGCUCUUCUCAGAGCGCUUCUUUUUUUCUAGAGGUAGCUGGGCUGGAGGCAAGAGCAUGAGAUUUGAAGCUCCAGACAAGGGCUCAUCCUGCACUGUCCUGAGCCGCCUUGUGACCUGGAGCCUGCCGUGUCCCUCUGUGAGCCUCUUCUCGAAGAUGAGAAAACUGAGGUGCAGAGAAGAAAAGGAACAUUCCCUAUGAUGUCAAGACCUUUUAGUAAAGCAUAUACGUUGAGUCUAAGGCUGGAGCCUGUCUCUGUUCCUGUUUUGCUCCUACUCUGGCCAGAGAGAUGAGGAUUAAGUGGGGUAAGGUGGGAAAUACUUUACCCCUCACUACCCAGCAAUACAGAAAGUCUGCAAGAAGGGUUUCCCCGUUUCCUAUUGAGGUCUGUCUGUUCCUACAGUGCUGCCAGCCUUUACGAUGACUAAGACUGGGUGUGGUGGCUCAUGCCUGU
rnacentral:lncRNA from 1 species